GCAGCCAAGGAUGACUUGCCG
rnacentral:miRNA from 3 species